GACGAACGCUGGCGGCGUGCCUAACACAUGCAAGUCCACGAGAAAGCGGUAGCAAUACUGCCGGUAAAGUGGCGAACGGGUGAGUAACACGUGGGUAAUCUGCCUUCGGGUGGGGAAUAACUCGCCGAAAGGUGAGCUAAUACCGCAUAAUGCAGCGGCACCAAAUGGUGAUUAGUUGUUAAAGCGGGGGACCCUUCGGGGCCUCGCGCCUGAAGAGGAGCCUGCGGCAGAUUAGCAGUUGGUGAGGUAAUGGCUCACCAAGGCUUCGAUCUGUAGCUGGUCUGAGAGGACGGCCAGCCACACUGGCACUGACACACGGGCCAGACUCCUACGGGAGGCAGCAGUGGGGAAUUUUGGGCAAUGGGCGCAAGCCUGACCCAGCAACGCCGCGUGAGGGAGGAAAUCCUUCGGGAUGUAAACCUCACAAGCAAGGGAAGAGCGCUACAGGUCUAAUAAGUCUGUAGUCCGACGGUACCUUGCGUAAGCCACGGCUAACUACGUGCC
rnacentral:rRNA from 1 species